rnacentral:piRNA from 1 species
UAGAGUCAAAUGCCUAUUGCUGGUUUAAA